rnacentral:rRNA from 1 species
GAUCCCUGGCUCAGAGUGAACGCUGGCGGCGUGCUUAACACAUGCAAGUCGAACGAGAACGGAUUAUAGCUUGCUAUANUUGUCAGCUAAGUGGCGCACGGGUGAGUAAUGUAUAGGUAAUAUGCCUCUUACUAAGGGAUAACAAUUGGAAACGAUUGCUAAUACCUUAUACUCCUUAUUAACCUAAGUUAAUAAGGGAAAGAUUUAUUGGUAAGAGAUUAGCCUGUAUUGUAUCAGUUAGUUGGUGGGGUAAUGGCCUACCAAGACUAUGACACAUAACUGGUUUGAGAGGAUGAUCAGUCACACUGGAACUGAGACACGGUCCAGACUCCUACGGGAGGCAGCAGUGGGGAAUAUUGCACAAUGGACGAAAGUCUGAUGCAGCAACGCCGCGUGGAGGAUGACACAUUUCGGUGCGUAA